rnacentral:rRNA from 1 species
GCGAGCGCAGGCGGUUUCUUAAGUCUGAUGUGAAAGCCCCCGGCUCAACCGGGGAGGGUCAUUGGAAACUGGGAGACUUGAGUGCAGAAGAGGAGAGUGGAAUUCCAUGUGUAGCGGUGAAAUGCGUAGAUAUAUGGAGGAACACCAGUGGCGAAGGCGGCUCUCUGGUCUGUAACUGACGCUGAGGCUCGAAAGCGUGGGGAGCGAACAGGAUUAGAUACCCUGGUAGUCCACGCCGUAAACGAUGAGUGCUAAGUGUUGGAGGGUUUCCGCCCUUCAGUGCUGCAGCAAACGCAUUAAGCACUCCGCCUGGGGAGUACGACCGCAAGGUUGAAACUCAAAGGAAUUGACGGGGGCCCGCACAAGCGGUGGAGCAUGUGGUUUAAUUCGAAGCAACGCGAAGAACCUUACCAGGUCUUGACAUCCUUUGACCACUCUAGAGAUAGAGCUUCCCCUUCGGGGGCAAAGUGACAGGUGGUGCAUGGUUGUCGUCAGCUCGUGUCGUGAGAUGUUGGGUUAAGUCCCGCAACGAGCGCAACCCUUAUUGUUAGUUGCCAUCAUUUAGUUGGGCACUCUAGCGAGACUGCCGGUGACAAACCGGAGGAAGGUGGGGAUGACGUCAAAUCAUCAUGCCCCUUAUGACCUGGGCUACACACGUGCUACAAUGGGAAGUACAACGAGUUGCGAAGUCGCGAGGCUAAGCUAAUCUCUUAAAGCUUCUCUCAGUUCGGAUUGUAGGCUGCAACUCGCCUACAUGAAGCCGGAAUCGCUAGUAAUCGCGGAUCAGCACGCCGCGGUGAAUACGUUCCCGGGCCUUGUACACACCGCCCGUCACACCACGAGAGUUUGUAACACCCGAAGUCGGUGAGGUAACCUUUUUGGAGCCAGCCGCCUAAGGUGGGAUAGAUGAUUGGGGUGAAGUCGUAACAAGGUAGCCGUAUCGGAAGG